ACGGGUGAGUAACGCGUGGGAACAUACCCUUUUCUACGGAAUAGCUCUGGGAAACUGGAAUUAAUACCGUAUACGCCCUACGGGGGAAAGAUUUAUCGGGGAAGGAUUGGCCCGCGUUGGAUUAGCUAGUUGGUGGGGUAAAGGCCUACCAAGGCGACGAUCCAUAGCUGGUCUGAGAGGAUGAUCAGCCACAUCGGGACUGAGACACGGCCCAAACUCCUACGGGAGGCAGCAGUGGGGAAUAUUGGACAAUGGGCGCAAGCCUGAUCCAGCCAUGCCGCGUGAGUGAUGAAGGCCUUAGGGUUGUAAAGCUCUUUCACCGAUGAAGAUAAUGACGGUAGUCGGAGAAGAAGCCCCGGCUAACUUCGUGCCAGCAGCCGCGGUAAUACGAAGGGGGCUAGCGUUGUUCGGAAUUACUGGGCGUAAAGCGCACGUAGGCGGAUAUUUAAGUCAGGGGUGAAAUCCCAGAGCUCAACUCUGGAACUGCCUUUGAUACUGGGUAUCUUGAGUAUGGAAGAGGUAAGUGGAAUUGCGAGUGUAGAGGUGAAAUUCGUAGA
rnacentral:rRNA from 1 species